AAGUUUCUGAUACUCCUCCGAAGGUCCGAUAUCGAUGUUUCUGAACUGUCAACUUUAUUUUUUUUGGGUAGAUGAGUUAGCCUUUCAAUGGGGAAUAAAAUUGCCUAGAUUUUGUUUUUUAUUGGAAAAUAGAGAGAAACUUAACAUUUGUUAAGCUUGUUAGCAAAGGUGACAAAGAUAACAAACAACAUAAGGCGGCUUACUGGAUUCGAUGGGUUUUUAAGCAAUAAAAAUCAUAUGAUCAUGGAAUUCUAAUUUGCACCAUAUUUU
rnacentral:misc_RNA from 1 species